CAAUUUACAAGGUGUGUCCGCAGCCAGCAGCGGCCGCAUCGUGGUAGCAGACAGCAACAACCAGUGUAUUCAGUCUGCUACUAAGUCUCAUGAGCCUACCUCCUACAUAUGUCUUGAGUCCAUCUGCGUCCCUCCAGCCAAUUUCCUUGGUCCAAGCCAUCAUCAUUUCUCAACUGGAAUACUGCAACAGCCUCUGACUGGGCAGCUAGCUUGUAGUCUUGACUUCUCCCUACAGCCAGAAUGUUCUUUCUUAAAAGCAAAAUUGAUCUUGUCACUGCUAUGCCUAGAAAUGUUAAGAAACUCCUCAUUACACCCAGGAUAAAACAUAAUUCCUUCUUUUGUUCACCUGGGUGCUCCCUGCAGUCCAGCCACACUGGACAAGUCCUCAAGUGGUGCCCAUACUGGACUUUGUGCCUUUUACAAUCUGUUCACUCUGCUUGAAUGCCUUUCCUCUUCCUUUCCUGGCCGAAUUUGGUUUAUGUGGCAUCCUCAUUAGGCUAUUUGUUCAGACAUCUUCUUCUCUUGGAGCCUUUUCUCACCAUUCCCCUUCAUCCCUUCAUGUUCUCACAAUCCCAUUCAUAUCUCUGUUGCAUUGCCCCAGACCUGCUGCCAUGUUUGAUUUUGUCAGUAAGUGCUUGUUGAAUGACUGAAUAAAUGG
rnacentral:lncRNA from 10 species